rnacentral:rRNA from 1 species
AGCAGCCGCGGUAAUUCCAGCUCCAAUAGCGUAUAUUAAAGUUGUUGCAGUUAAAAAGCUCGUAGUUGAAUUUCGGGGUCAGUAGGUUGGUCGUGCCACCGGUACGUACUGGUCUCACUGAUUCCUCCUUCCUGAUGAGCUGUAAUGCCAUUAAUUUGGUGUUGCAGGGAAUCUGGACUGUUACUUUGAAAAAAUUGAGUGUUUAAAGCAGGCUAACGCUUGAAUACAUUAGCAUGGAAUAAUGAAAUAGGACGUUCGAUCCUAUUUUGUGGUUUCUAGGAUUGACGUAAUGAUUAAUAGGGAUAGUUGGGGCAUUAGUAUUCAAUUGUCAGAGGUNAGAUUCUGGAUUUAUUGAAGACUAACUACUG